rnacentral:rRNA from 1 species
UACGUAGGGUGCGAGCGUUACUCGGAAUUACUGGGCGUAAAGCGUGCGCAGGCGGUUUUGUAAGCCAGAUGUGAAAUCCCCGGGCUUAACCUGGGAAUGGCAUUUGGGACUGCAAGGCUGGAGUGCGGCAGAGGAGACUGGAAUUCCUGGUGUAGCAGUGAAAUGCGUAGAUAUCAGGAGGAACACCAGUGGCGAAGGCGGCUUCCUGGACACCAACUGACGCUGAGACGCGAAAGCGUGGGGAGCAAACAGG